rnacentral:lncRNA from 13 species
CCGGGGAGAGAACAGAGAGCGGGUACACGCCGCCCGCUGAGAGAGAGAGACCAGCUGAGAGCUCCAAGGAGAGAGGGAGACCAGCGUCAGCCAAGACGGACAGGUCAUCAUCCAGGGAGAAGUCAGCCACCAGGGAACAGAAAGGAGAGAAGACCUCGUCCUCCGUAGACAGACCUGCCUCUACAGGGGAGCAAGCGGCAGGGUCCCAGAGAGAGACUGUAGCUGAAGACAGAGCAAUAGCAACAGCAGUGGUGGUGGUGAAGGAGGGUUCUGGGAAGACCAGAAAGAUCAGCAGAAAGAGUUCUGAGCCCACGACCCACCACUCAUCAGACCACUCUGUCACUUCAACUGGGUGAGUUGCCCUUUCGACCUCUGACCUUCCAACGGUUCUUUAUUAGCCCGUGUUGUUAAUCAACAAUCAUUGUGGUUUAACACUAUCUAGAGCUUUCUCCUUUAGUUAUUAACACUAUCAGCGUUCUAGAGUUUCUCCUUUAGUUAACACUUAUCAGCUUUCUAGAACUUUCUCCUUUAGUUAACACUAUCAGCGUUCUAGAGCUUUCUCUAGUUAACACUAUCAGCGUUCUAGAGCUUUCUCCUUUAGUUAACACUAUCAGCGUUCUAGAGCUUUCUCCUUUAGUUAACACUAUCAGCGUUCUAGAGCUUUCUCCUUUAGUUAACACUAUCAGUGUUCUAGAGCUUUCUCCUUUAGUUAACACUUAUCAGCGUUCUAGAACUUUCUCCUUUAGUUAACACUAUCAGCGUUCUAGAGCUUUCUCCUUUAGUUAACACUAUCAGCGUUUCCCUCUACUGUGAGAAUUGUGAUCGAAUAUUCUGCACAGACCGGUGCAACAACCAAUCAGAGCUGCAGUAGGCCUAUAUGCAAAUAGCCAUUGCCAUAUAUGGAUCUGUGCCAUUCACUGAACAAAUAACCACAGUAGCCUACUUGGCCACUGUCAAAACUGGAACUUAAAGCAGGUAGAGCCUUCAC